rnacentral:scRNA from 1 species
CCGAGAUUCCGCCAUUUGACCGAACCUCAUGA